rnacentral:rRNA from 1 species
UACAGAGGUCCCAAGCGUUGUUCGGAUUCACUGGGCGUAAAGGGUGCGCAGGUGGUGAGGUAAGUCGGAUGUGAAAGCUCGGAGCUCAACUCCGAAAUGGCAUUGGAAACUACCUUGCUCGAGGGUUGGAGGGGGGACUGGAAUGCUUGGUGUAGCAGUGAAAUGCGUAGAUAUCAAGCGGAACACCAGUGGCGAAGGCGAGUCCCUGGACAACUCCUGACACUGAGGCACGAAAGCUAGGGGAGCAAACAGG